UUCACUCCGAAUCUCAAUGAAGACAUCAGUCAUUCAUCAUCACGAACCCUAAUCGCAUCAACAAUCAUCGAGCAUGAGCAUAUUCUGGUGUAAGUUAUUGAUUCUUGGUAUGAAACAUCUCAUCAACUUCAUCAUUCGUCCACCAGGAUCGAAGAUUUAAGAUCCGGCUUUUUUUUCCAUUAAUCGUCGGUUCCAUUUGAAUCCUAAACUGAUGGUUUUGUGGGGAUACCGCAUAAGGCGGCGAUAGAGGUGGAGUUGUUUGUCGGCGGUGGUUUAGCGUCAUCUAGGGUUCCAAUAGACAAGUUCGUUGCCGGUUACUUCACAACUGUUUUCCUGCUAUUGUUUCCGAUGACCCUUUAAUUGCUCAUGAUCAAUGGAAGGUAUAUUUCUAAACUUGAAACUUAAUUGAGUUUUUUAUUGACUGGUAAUUGAUGUUUUUGUAAAUGUAUGAAUGCUUAUUGGUAUUUUUAUGACUGUUUUUUCAUGUCUACAAUAUAGCCACUAAUGUCUUUUGUAAAGAUUUUGUUCGCGAGAAACGACCCGGUAGGAACUUACUUUGCACUAAACCGGUUUGCUGAUAUUUUUGAUACAAUGAUUUUGCCGGUAUUAUUUGCCGGUAUUAUUUAUGUACACCAGCUGCUUCUUCUGAAGCACAUUUGUGUAUAUUUCUUUGUUUAGAAACUGAGUGCGAUUUACUUGCAGGAAGAGAUGGUGGAAUAUGUAACAUCCAACAUGUGGUUUCCAAUUUAGUAGUUUUUUUGGCAGUUUGAAGAUAUAUGCUUUUGCCGGGCAGUUGGCCUUUGUGCUCUUCUACCAAUUAUUUUCAUGGGAAGUCAUAUGGUUAUUGAAUUUCCGACUUCACAAACAAGUCUUUGGAAUCAUUCACUAUUUCAAAUGUCAAUGACAAAUUGAAAAGAUAAUGAACCUAGAAUCAGUUAAUCGUUUGUAUCUAUAUUUGUAUGAAUACGUAACACCAUCGAGACAACGAACACUACAUCAACCACUAUAGUUUCUACUGAAAGUCACGUACAACCAACCUCUUUUCAGGUGAGAAAUUAGGCAGAGUGGGUAUGAAAAAGUACACAAAGGCAUCUUUUUGCUUGGAUUCUAUGAUGAAGAAGGCAAGCUGAUUCGAAGAAAAAUUGAAUACACAUUCGUACAAUCGUUCAAUCAAUUAUGAAGAUGUUAAAUGUUACAAUGAACUAGAGAUUUAUGUUUAUUGCAGCGACGGCAACAGAGCUUUUUCGAUGUUCUUAUGUAGCGCUUUUUCAUUUGCUAGCGACAUCAACAGAGCUACAGAGACAACCGUUAGCUUUUUGGAUGUGGUUGUGUGACAGAAUAAGAUAAUCAGUCAUCACAAACCAGUUUCUCCUGCAGUAUAUGGUGUUUGGAUAUUCUUAUGCAGUUCUUUUUCAUUUGCCGGUGACGGCAACAGAGCUGCAAAAAAAACCGGUUCAUGUCAUGCUGGUGGAAUGAACUGUGCUGAAGCUUUGCUCCACUCUUUUAGAAUUCUAGAACAAGAUUGUGGACCAGGGGUUGGGGUUUCUAAGGGUUUUGGAGCAUUUAUCAUCUGGCCCAUUUUUAGAUUUUCAAAGCAUCACCUCUGCUAGAGAGUAAAAGUAAAAGGAGAGAGGAAGAGAAGCAUAAUGGUUACUUGCAGUUAGGUCCACCAGAUAAAGAUAAUAUUGAUGUAUCAUUAUAAUUGAAAGACCGGUUAUACGCGUAGGAUGGUGCUGAAAUGGUAAAAAAUUGGCGGUUCUAUAAUUCAGAAAAUUCUUACAGAGAAGAGACACGACUUUUGAUAGUUUUGAAAGUUAAAGCAAACAACAGGACGCAAAAAAACACUUGGUUAAUAGCAAAAAGAUAUUGCCUAUAGCAUUGAAGUAUCCUACUGGCAAAAUCCGAUGGUUAAAUCUUAGUUGCGGAUCAAAUCUAAAGAUCAUAAAUUUGUGAGAGCCAGGGCAGAUGGAGCUGUUAGGUACUGGGAUAUUCAACAUGGGGAGUUGUCAAGUGGCUCCCCGAACACAUCGCAAAUUCAGCUGGUUUACACAAGAAUUCCCAAAUAAUUAUUAACAUUAUUGACGGUAGUGAAUGAGAAUUCAAGAUCUCUCGAAAAGAAGCUUUUGAUUUUACAAGAUAUAAUCUUUUAGGUUGGAUUGAUUUGAUGAAAGAUGGAGAGUUCCAUUUGGUCAGAAGUCAAGAAAGCUUUUGGUUGCAAUAGAUCAAAACCUUUAAUAUCAUUUUGAAAUUGUUUUUAGCAAACUGCUGUUUCUAUUAGAUUGUUACCUUAUAACUUUUAAUACAUGUUCACAACCCGUGAUUAGUUAGUAAUUAUUUGAUGGACGUAAUUACCCUUAUUAUCUAAUAAAGGGUUUCCAUAUAUAUAAGGAGAGAUAACUAGAGAGAUAAAGGUCACACAAUCACAAUUACAUCAAGAACUCAAGAAUUCGUUCACUCU